rnacentral:rRNA from 1 species
AGAGUUUGAUCCUGGCUCAGGAUGAACCCUGUUGGCGUGCUUAACACAUGCAAGUCGAACGGAGAUAUCAUUUUCGAAGCGAUUAGUUUACUAAGAGCGGAGAUGUUGCUAUCUUAGUGGCGGACGGGUGAGUAACGCGUGGGUAACCUGCCUUGCACUGGGGGAUAACACUUAGAAAUAGGUGCUAAUACCGCAUAACAGUAGGAGACGCAUGUCUUUUACUUGAAAACUCCGGUGGUGUAAGAUGGACCCGCGUCUGAUUAGCUUGUUGGCGGGGUAACGGCCCACCAAGGCAACGAUCAGUAGCCGGCCUGAGAGGGUGAACGGCCACAUUGGGACUGAGACACGGCCCAAACUCCUACGGGAGGCAGCAGUGGGGAAUAUUGGACAAUGGGGGGAACCCUGAUCCAGCGACGCCGCGUGAGUGAAGAAGUAUUUCGGUAUGUAAAGCUCUAUCAGCAGGGAAGAAAGAAAUGACGGUACCUGACUAAGAAGCCCCCGGCUAACUACGUGCCAGCAGCCGCGGUAAUACGUAGGGGGCAAGCGUUAUCUGGAUUUACUGGGUGUAAAGGGAGCGUAGACGGCGAUGCAAGUUUGAAGUGAAAGGCGGGGGCCCAACCCCCGGACUGCUUUGGAAACUGUAUGGCUGGAGUGCCGGAGGGGUAAGCGGAAUUCCUGGUGUAGCGGUGAAAUGCGUAGAUAUAUGGAAGAACACCAGUGGCGAAGGCGGCUGUCUGGUCUGCAACUGACGCUGAGGCUCGAAAGCAUGGGUAGCGAACAAGAUUAGAUACCCUGGUAGUCCAUGCCGUAAACGAUGAGUAAUAGGUGUUGGAGGGUUUCCGCCCUUCAGUGCCGGAGCUAACGCAUUAAGGCACUCCUCCUGGGGAGGUACGACCGCAAGGUUGAAACUCAAA